AUGAAUGGCCAUCUGUGGCCUUCUACCCUUCAAAACAGUGGAGGCAGAGUGUGCUUCGGCGCUCCGGCGCCGCCUUUAUGCUGUAGAGUUUGUGUCUGAAUCCAAAAUAUAGUCUA
rnacentral:misc_RNA from 1 species